rnacentral:rRNA from 1 species
GACGAACGCUGGCGGCGUGCUUAACACAUGCAAGUCGUACGGUAAGGCCCUUUCGGGGGUACACGAGUGGCGAACGGGUGAGUAACACGUGAGUAACCUGCCCACAACUUUGGGAUAACGCUAGGAAACUGGUGCUAAUACUGGAUAUGUGCUCCUGCUGCAUGGUGGGGGUUGGAAAGCUCCGGCGGUUGUGGAUGGACUCGCGGCCUAUCAGCUUGUUGGUGGGGUAGUGGCCUACCAAGGCGGCGACGGGUAGCCGGCCUGAGAGGGUGACCGGCCACAUUGGGACUGAGAUACGGCCCAGACUCCUACGGGAGGCAGCAGUGGGGAAUAUUGCACAAUGGGUGCAAGCCUGAUGCAGCAACGCCGCGUGCGGGAUGACGGCCUUCGGGUUGUAAACCGCUUUCAGCAGGGACGAAGCUUUUUGUGACGGUACCUGCAGAAGAAGCACCGGCUAACUACGUG